AGUGAACGCUGGCGGUAGGCCUAACACAUGCAAGUCGAACGGCAGCACAGUAAGAGCUUGCUCUUACGGGAGGCGAGUGGCGGACGGGUGAGGAAUACAUCGGAAUCUACUUUUUCGUGGGGGAUAACGUAGGGAAACUUACGCUAAUACCGCAUACGACCUACGGGUGAAAGCAGGGGAUCUUCGGACCUUGCGCGAUUGAAUGAGCCGAUGUCGGAUUAGCGAGUUGGCGGGGUAAAGGCCCACCAAGGCGACGGUCCGUAGCUGGUGUGAGAGGAUGAUCAGGCACACUGGAACUGAGCCACGGUCCAGACUCCUACGGGAGGCAGAAGUGGGGAAUAUUGGACAAAGGGGGCAAGCCUGAUCCAGCCAUACCGCGUGGGUGAAGCAGGCCUUCGGGUUGUAAAGCCCUUUUGUUGGGAAAGAAAAGCAGCAGGUUAAUACCCCGCUGUUCUGACGGUACCCAAAGAAUAAGCACCGGCUAACUUCGUG
rnacentral:rRNA from 1 species